UUACUGUCAUGGCUACCAUGCAAUAAGCUGCCAUGCGACCAUGCGCCAUGCGUCGAGAGCAACCGAGACAAAGGAGAGCCCAAAAGCCUAAAGGACUCCGGACUUCGUGCUGAAACAAUGGACGCCGACCAGACAAUCAAAAACGCAAUGGCCUUAGGCGAAGACUUGCAAGAAAUCCUUCAAUCCAAAGGCCGCGGUGACCCUGACGCACUGACACGUCGCCUUGCUGUCCCAUUGGGAACACAAUAUCCCACUUUCGUACCGUGGAGGCGGCGGGCCAAUCACAAAGGCCGAGCUCAAGGAAGGUAUGAUUACGCGCGUCAUGGACGCGCGUAGCAUUCUCCUUCGCUACCCAAACCCUUUGAUGUCAGACAUGGACAACAUUCCCCAUGACCUGCUUGAAGGUGCGCGUCGGAUUGACCUGCUGGGCGACCGAUUUUUGCAUGUGUUGCUGGACUUUUUGGGAGCGGAGUUUGUCAUCACCGAGGAUGGUGGUACCUUAAGGCAGAAAGCAGAAAUGGUACCUUUCCAGUAUAUGCUGGCGCCUCUUGCUGCCCCGCCUGUUGCGGCCUCAGCUGGGGCUGCGAUGGAAGAAGGAAGGAGGCGCCCUUGCUGUGGCCCCAGCUGGUGCCCAGGUGCAAGAGGACGCCCCUGUUGACGCAGUUGGCCCCUUCCCAAUGAGCUAGUUUAACACGCAGUCUUAGAGGUAUGUUCAUUACCUAGAUUUCUAUUCAACUGCUGUCUGAAUUAUAAAAUAGUUGUAAAAAAAAAAUGGAAAUGGAUCUUCUGAAGAUAUAUUUGAUGAAAAAUAAACAUCUUGUCAC